AAUUGACUUCCAACUGACUGACUAACAGUCUUGUUAUCCACCUGCUAGAUGACAUAGUUUAGUAUCCUCCAAUCAUCCUUGUCCUCAUGUGUUACAAAACAGGCUCACAUGGCAAUAUCUGGUUCUAUCCAUGAACAAAAGCCAGAUUAACAGCAUAUAAUUUGAUUUCCUAAUAACAUUAGAAGGAGCACAAAUGAACAAGUUAAUAUCGCCAUGCCGCAAAAUAUCUAACAAAUGCUCCUUCACAGUUCCAAAUGAUCAAUAUCUUUUUGCAUUCAUUCAGGUAACAGGAAGGCCACACCUAAUGCAAAUAUUAGAUGGCAAAUUCCUUCUAAUGAUUCUUACAUGGCCUUUAUUCAGUAUUUCCUCAUCUUUUUGGAAUGCCUUCAUCUUAACCAGCUCACAUCAUUUUAAAACCAUCAUCAUUGUAGCCCACAAACACAUAAACCCUUUUUUAAUGAAUUUUCUACGCCAAUACAUUUGGUUCUUCAUCAUGACUAUCCUCAAUAAAAAUAUCAGUAGCAACACAGCUUAUUCCAUUUACACCACACAGUUCCACUUCAAUGGGCAUUGAAUAAAUUGACAUUCAAUUGAAGAACAAACAAAGGAAAUUUAUACCAACAGCUCAAAUCUGACUUACACCCAUGUAACUUAGAUGCCUUCCUUCCAAUGAACUUUUAUCUCCAAAACUCUUGAAGUACCUCAUAAUGAUUUUCCUUCCAGUUACAAGGAUAUUUGGACACUUUCAAAUCCUAGAACACAAUUUAUAAAUGUUUAAUGCUAUACCAACUACAUUAAUUGAUCAAGAGUAGACGAUUAUAUGAUAUUACAAUUGCGCAUCAUGAAGCCAAGCAGUUCUAAUGCAAAAUCCAAGGAAUCAAUUUCAGCCUUUGCUCCAGUCCAUAUAACCAGAAACCCAACAUUGACACAUAUAUACAUCUCAGAAAACCAACCUUAUUAAAACUUAAACUAGUUAACACUUUAAGUCCUCAUUACUAGUAUAAAAUAUUCAUUCUGGAACAAAAUGAAUUUGUGCACAUUUAAUACAGUUCAAUUGAAGUCCUCUUUAACAAUACAUGCAAUCAAUCUCAACCUUUCAUCUUUCACCCAACAUUCAAAACAAUGCUUUUGGCAGCAAUCACUGUAAAUGAAGUUGACUUGGACAAUCAACAUUCGAUUUUAUUACCAUAUAGUUUGUGCAUCUAAGUUAUGGGUUUCAUAGAAGGUCAACCAAACACUGUAGACAAAAGCAUUUAAUCAAUUACAACCUUAUCAGCAAGCAACAAAGCGAAAAACCUAGGCAGCAACAGUAAUACAAAAUACCAACAAAAGGUGAAUGUCCACCAUAUGCCUUAUAAUGGAAGGAUAAAGUACCAGAGAGAAAAACCCUAAUUUGGAGAAGGGGUGGAUUGAUUCUCCAUAAGUUUCUUGUCCCUUCUCUCCAUUGCAACGUCCCACAUAUCGUUACAGACGUGCUUCGGCCGACCAUGAGCGGCUUUGUGGAUGUAAUACUGAGCAUUACCCAUCACACAGAGCAUUCCUGCUAUGAUUCCGAGUGGUAGAGCUGCUUCUAACCAUCUCCACGACAUUUUGCUUCUUCUCUGCGAAGAAUUCGAUGGAUCUCCUCUCCACCGUCAUCUUUUUUUCCCUUUGCAGGUAUAGUACACCACGCGGUGGGGAGUAAUCCAACCAGCCGAGCUGAGGCUUGAUUCCUCAACUC
rnacentral:misc_RNA from 1 species